UUCCCGGGGGCAGACCUUAGCCCGGAGCUUCCACGGUGCCCGGCCGGCGUGGUGACCCUGGCAGCCCCUGCGGGGACCACCAAAACUUUGCUCACCCGGACCUUGGGAGGCAUGGAGAGCACAGGCUGUUUGGGGGUUGAGCUUGGCAGUCAGGAGGUCCCAGCGUUGGCGUGAAAGCCCCAGGUGACCUUCCCAACAGCCUCAGGGAACUUUCCUCCAGCAAGAAGGCCGCGCCUAGAGCUGCUCCUCACAAUCACCCCGAUGGCGGGCAGGCUGUUCUCGGGGUAACAGGUGCCAACCCUGACAGCGACUCUAUGCUGAGAAGGUGUCCCCGGUAACAGGCGUGAUGCGCGGUGAACCGAAAUCUGCGCAUGUCUGCGCUCCGUGGGUAAUCGUCUCUCUCACCUUCUCCGGACACAGCAUUCGCCAUGGAGGUGGCCCAGAGCCCGCGUCCCCAGCACCGACACAGGCAGAACACCAGAAGCCCUCCACGGGAGCACCACCGCGCUCUGGUUUCUGGGCUGUGCAGGAGACAUUUUAUUCCCGCAACUUCUGGGACCCCUUCAACAACUGUGAGUCUGUCGGGAACCCAACAUCGAGGUCCGAGCCUCUGCCGACAGCGCCGCUCGCUGCUUACCCAUCAUAAUUCACUCAAGAAGGUGCCAUCCCUAGCAGAGACAGAUGUUUCUGUGGAAUUGUUCCUAAUAUUGUAUUUGCAGAGUGAUAGGUUGGUCCACAAAGUAACAAAGUGCCAUAGUUCCUGAGCCUAAAUAUAAUGAAAAGAACCCAAGCUACUUGAAAUAGGUUCAACCGGAUAAAGCGACCAAGAAAUAAUCCAGCGUUUUAUUGUAAUGACCAGUGUGGGGAAUGUGCAGUCAUGGGGACUGAUGUCUGCUGCAGAGUCUCUGAUUCUUUCAGGAGACGAAAAAAGAAGUCUUAUAAAUCUGAGAAAGAAAAGAUAUAAAAUCAAGAGUAGAAAAUACAAAAUAAAGUGCGCAUCAAAUAUCCGUCUGUGUUUCAAGCAGCUGUGCGGAAGGACCACACACGUAUCAGCUACAUGAGGGUUUGGAUGAAAAUCAUCUCUCAUUUCUCCUCCAACUCUGAUGUUAGAUUAUACGUAUGUUUUCUGACAUUUCACAAAGCCUUUGGACAAGAAACAUCAGCUAUCAUGGAUGACUGGGCUGUUUCUCCCCCUAGAAAUGUGGGUCCUAGGAAAGUGACGGGGUUUUCUAGAGCAGCAGUGUUGUGGGGGCGCGGAUAAGUGAAGGCAAGAGGAAGUUGAGUCCUAAGGCCUUGCCCGUCCUGGUAGCGAUUCUUCUCUGUUCCUGAAGUCCAAAGGCUGGGGAAGGGGACGACUUGAGAGAUAGCCAGACAGCCCCACGGAUGGCAGAGCUGCUCACCGGACAUGGGCUCCCAUGUCAGAACCACUUGGGUUGGAAUCCUUGACCAGCACGCACGAGGCAAAGCCUCGUCCACUUCCCAUCCAUCCUGCCUUUCUCUUCUUUGAUCAUUGACUUGUGCAUCUUAUCCCAGGGGCAAGAAGUGCUCAAGGGGCCACACAGAUAAAAACCCCUGGUCUCGCGGGGCUUACAGUCUGUGGUGGGGAGAAAAGCACAAACAAAACCAAAUAUAAACAUACCCCAUGUCAGGUAGUGGGCAGCACUAUUCAGGAAAUAAAAAGCAGGCUAAGCUGAGAGGGAUGUAGGCAAGGGGAGGUGAUAUUACGACAGAAAUAAGGAGACCCACAUGGCGUGAUGUGUGUCCCCCGAGCAUCUCUACCUUGUCACCAUCGCCAGUGUCCCCGCACACCUGUGCUCAGAGGAUGCGUCGCUGUAUGGCACAGGGGAGCUGGUGCAGGUGGCAUUUCCCACAAUGCAAGUGGAGGGAUCCACACUGCAGGCCUGUGCAGAAUGGCCAUCAUCUUCCUCUGGACACACGAGGUAAGAUGAUUCCACAGAGGCCAGGAGGAAGCUGCCGUCUCAUGUCCCUAGAUAGAGGUAUGUUCCUUGGCAACCUGAUUCAGAAGCUGGAAAUAGCAGUCUACACUGGUGUGCCAUAGCUUAUAAUCCACUGUGAGAUUUUUGGGUCAGAAAAUGCCCUGUGUGGACUGGAAGCCCUCACCCAUGAGGGCCAGGGCUGGGCACCCUGUGCUCCCAGGUCUCCUAGGCAAGUGGAAUGAUUGCACCCGUUUCGGGUUGACUUGGGUCCCCUAAAAAAGGUUCAAGACUUAACUGCUGGAACCUCAGAAUAUGACCUUAUUUGGUUAAUUUGAGGUCGUACUGGGCUAGGAUAGGCCCUAACCCAAUGUGGCUGGUAACCCUAUAAGAAGAGAGAAAGAAUAUAGUAUAGAGACCCAAGGGGGAAGACAGCCAGGUGACGUCACGGAGGCAGAGAACAUAGUGAUGCGUCUGUAAACCGGGAACACCAAGGUUUACCGGCCACCACCGGAGGCUGGAGGGGUCCUGGAACAGAUUCACCCUUAGAACUCCAUGAGGAACCAACCGUACUACCCACAUGUGGCUCUUGGACUUCGGGCUUUUAGAAGGGAGGGAAUGACUGUGGCUUUUAAGGCGCCCACAUUUGUGGUCCUUUGUUACCAAAAGUCCAGGAACGUAAUACACUCUCUUUUUACAGAUGAAUAAUCUGCGGGUAAGACAGCUUGUCCAACUUGGCCAAUGAGGGAGAAACAAGGGCUAGAGUUUGAAGAUCAGCUAGACUAUAUGCACGCAGACCCUUGGCCCAUUUGCAAAUUCCCAUGUGAAGUCAUACAAGGUCCAUGGCCUUCUGGCAAGAUUCCUUACCACAUCCUUGGCAAUGAUGAAGUCCGAGCAGUGAUUCUGAGCUAAGACCCCGGUUCCUGUUCCUUAUUUUUCAAGUCUAUAAGACCGAGCCAUGGAACAUAGCCCAUCUACAAACACUGCAGUGAUGUUGCUGCCAUGGAUAUUUAUGGAAAAUAGAUAUUCGAUGACAAAAGGACACUUAAGCAGCUGCAGUGUGACGAGCUUUAACGGGGCAGCUGCGAACAGGGUGGAGGGCAGGAAUCCCUCCGGGGACUGGAGAAGAACAACUUCCAGCAGAAGGCAGCAUGAUUGGGCACUGCUGGGACCUGCCUGGCACAGAGCAAUCAGAGCUGGGUGGUUCUUUGAGUGCAAGAGAAGCCAGCAAACAUGAAUCUAAGAGAUAGAAAUGUCAAAAGUUACAAGCGGUGCAAAUAGUCGCUCUAGUUGUGGGCCAAAGGAAAUGUCUUCACUUGAGUAAAUGUAGAAGGAACUUCUGGCAACGGAUACUCAGGCAUAGAUGAAAACAAGUAAAUUAGAACAAACUAGAACAGCAUCGGCAACAGAAAGGCACCUUCAGGUGCACCACUGUUGGACAGAAAGGACAACACACUUAAAUUGGUGUAAUGAGGUUCACUCAAUCUUGCUACCCAAAAUUUACCAUGGAGUUGAGAAGGCAAGACAUACAUUCAUGCUCCUUGGAAUUCGGUGGCAGUAUUUGCAAAAAGAUGGCCCUUUGCCUAUUUAUCCAUUUCUACUUUCAAAUAAGGUGGGAUUUUAUUUUUGUUUUUUAUGACCGAAUAGGGAAGUUUGGGGAUUUUUCUGGAUUGUUGCAUUUUCUUGUUCGUUUGACCUUUCUGUUUUGUGAAAAAUGAGUGAUGUCCUCGGUUUCAUGCAGCCUUUCUUUGGAGAGAAAUUGCUGUGUCUUCCUGAUAGAGCUCACGGUAUGUAGGACUACUGCAUGACCAAAUGGGAGUUGGGAUCCUGGAUUCUGUGGUGCUGAGUCACCCCGCGUCGUAGGACCCCGCGCGUGGGUUAAUGGUUGCGAGGAGGAGGACAAAGGCGAGGACACGGGACGAGCUGCGUGGACGGCCGGCCCGACGCUGCUAUGGCGCCCGCUUGGGAGGGAGGCUUCGAUGCGGCGCCUGCAGCCAGAUGGCUUUCACCGGCGUUGGUCUGAGUGUCUCAGGAAAGAGA